GAAAAAGCUGCUGAGGCGCCAUUCCUGGGGCUACACAUUUUGUCCAUCCCUUUGUUCCAGUGACACUUACUACAAGACCACCAGGUCAAGCACCGCACCCUCUGAUUUUUUGGAGGUACCAAGAAGAGUCCUUGACUGGGGCCCUGCCUUCCAUCCUUUGUCAUUGCCAACACGAAGCUGGGGGGAGCAACCUCCAGCCAGCCUCCAUCUCUUCCCUUUCCUGCCAAACCCAAGAGCCCUCCAACCACACCCCAUUCCUCUCCUUCCCUGUCUGCCUCGCCCCUCUCACCUCGACUACAACAGCCUCUGAGAGACACACGGUGGUGACAAGCAAGGACUCAAGCCAGGCUGCCUGGGGUCAAGCCUAGCCCUGCCACUGUGGGACCCCGGGCUGCCCCAGUUUCCUCUGUGAAAGGAGAUAAUCAUAGACUCUACCUCAGAGAGCUGUUACGGGAUAAAUGAAUUCAUAUUUCUCAGGUGUAUGUAACAGUAUCUCUGGCACAUGUAAGCGUUUAACAUAAAAAUACACUUAUUACUCUCA